GUCUCGUGCCAGUCAGCACACGAGCCGGCCAGAGGCCGCACGUGCGUGCCGUAGCAGCGGUCUAAUGGGGCAGCCGAGCCACACCACCCUGGCGAGACUGCAGCGAGGAGAACUGCUGGUCUCGUGCCAGUCAGCACACGAGCCGGCCAGAGGCCGCACGUGCGUGCCGUAGCAGCGGUCUAAUGGGGCAGCCGAGCCACACCACCCUGGCGAGACUGCAGCGAGGAGAACUGCUGGUCUCGUGCCAGUCAGCACACGAGCCGGCCAGAGGUCGCACGUGCGUGCCGUAGCAGCGGUCUAAUGGGGCAGCCGAGCCACACCAGCCGGGCGAGGAAGUUCCCACGACUGCUGUGCUUGACCAAGUGCUGCUGAAGAACGGCAAUUUUUCGAAAUACUGACACGCAGAAACGACGUGAGAUUGAAGAAAUGCAUGUCUUGUUAGAUAACCUCCUUUAGUUAACUUCAUUUUUCUAUAUCAUUGUAAAAUAUUAAAGUUUUUUUUAUUUACAUGCAUUGUGGCUCAGAUAUUUAUCAUCCUUCAAUUUAAAAACGUGUAUUUUAGUUAAGUUCACGUAAUGCAUAUAC